CAGUAUCUGAAAGGGAUGAGCUUUAUGAUUACCCUGAAUAACUGAGUAUAAAGCUAACCUUUGGAACAUUUAAUCAACUCUAGAAGCCUCCACUCACCCACCACCUACUGUUUCAUGAUCUCAGCCUCAUCCAUCCCAAUUAAUCUCCAUCAAAACUUGAGUGGGAGGCAAAGAGGGAGGGGACUUUUCCCUGCCAAUCAGAAGAAAAAAGAAGAAGAUUUGCUGAGGGAAAGUUUAGAGAGGAGGAAGGGAUGUCUUGGUCGAUUUCAGUCUGUUCCCAAUUUUCGAAUUUCCGUUUCACAUUCAAAGUUUCAAUCUUUAAAGGCAAUGGAAGUCUCGCUUUAUAUAUAAAUAUUAAAGCCAAAGCAGCCACCGAGACCUCUCCAUUUCCAUUGCUUCAGUCUCCCCAAGCUAAAGACUCCCCCUCUGACAUUUUAAAAACCAAGACAUAUAUAUCUCCCUAAACAUAUGGACAGCAAUAACUUACAAGGAUAUGGAGACCGAAAGAGUUGAACACUGACAAAUAUGAUGGGCUUCAUUGAUUUUCUUAAAGCUGCAAUCCAUGAAAUCUCUCUCUACUUGCUCAAUUGUAAUAUGAUGUACAUCAUAUUUUUAUGUAUACAAGCUAUGCUCUCAGUUUUAGGUCCAAGCAAGUAAUUGUUCCAUUA